rnacentral:misc_RNA from 1 species
UGAAUUAUUGAUAUUGGAAUCUCUUUUGGCUUAAACUUCCUUUCAGUUUCCAGGGGUGUUAACAGUCCUUUCGAUUUUGAUCCUCUCAUGACUAUGUUCAGCCUUAACCUACCAUUAUUUGAUGUCAUUGGGACAUUUAAAAGUUUGUGAAGUACCCUUGUCGGACUAAUGUGAAUGGUUAUUAUGAUAUGAGAUGUGUUUCUAGUGCCUUUACUGUUGCACGUGCCAAGUGGAUGGUUGUUAUUGAAAGAAUACUGGAAGAAACUUUAUACCACUGUCUUACUCAAAAUAUUAACAAAAGACUCUACUUAUAGUAGUAUCAUACUUGUGUUUGUUGCACAAAAUUAGCACCAUUGACUAAUGAAUAAAAAGAUCUCUAAAAUUUCUCAACAAAUUAUACCCACAAUCACAUGCUUAUGGAACUAACUCAAAAUAAAUAAAUAAAAAAUCAUUAACAAAUAAAGAUUUGGUCAGUCCAUAGUUGAAUUAACUCCAACACUAAGGGGAUGUCCAAUAUCAUAUCCGUUUAUUUUGCCUAUUGAAUUAUCUAUGCAUGAUAUGCUGGGAUGAAAACUUUUUACUUUAAUAUUUGAUUGAUAUGUGCCCUUGUAUUCUUUUGGGAAUAAAUGGACAAAAUUUUGCUGUGGAGCAGCCCUCCUGUUCUUGAAUGCUCUUCCAUAUGACAUGAUGCGAACUUAUUCAAUGUUUCUUACUGAUAAGUUCUCUUUGAUUCUAUAUUUAAGAAAUUUAUUUGCUUGAGAGUGGGUGUAAGUCGCCUUUUUAAGCCAUUGAGUGAGACAUCUUUGGUUAUUAUUGUUUAUGAGCUGUCGCACCCAUGAAACAGACAUAGAAGGCCUUGAUAGAAUGCAGCAUAUUAGAUAAAGGAAAAGGAAUAGGUUUUUGUUUGUUUUGGAAAGUAUUGAAUUUGUUGGUACAGAACAUCUUUCUCCCUUUCCUGUACAAAUGGCAGUGACAGGAGCUUCUAGAAGUGUUUCCAAUGUUAUUUAAAGAACUGACAAUGAUUUAUGUCUCAUAACAAAGGACAAAAUCUGGUGGCAUUUUUUUAUCCAUCAAAGGUCCAAUUAGAUAUCUGUGACACACUGAAAAGUAGCGAUAUGUCUUUAAAUUCUUGUCACAAUAAGCAAUCCUUUGCCUUAAAUAUCCCUUGAGGAUAUUAUAAUACACCACUGUAGCACUGUGAAGUGGUUAUCAUUUAUGAAGUUACAAUGAUGGAAUACUCCAACUUCUAUCAAGAACCUCUACUCAUACUCUGCCCCCCCUAACUACUUGAUCCAAGCCUGGUACAAUGUGUAUAUCUUUUUGAUAUCAUAUCUACCAAUGUUAAUCUUUUUUCACCCCUUUUUUCCUCCACUAAUUAAUCAUAUAACUAGUUACUAAAUGGAACAAGAAAUUAUAGGCUUCAAGAUUGUUUAUAUCAUUAUGUUGAGAUGGAGAUGAUUCAUUAUGUGCCAACAAAGCUAUUGUGGUUCUGUGGUCGUAUUGAUGAGCACUAGUGGAUAUUAUUACUUAUUAGAUUGUCUUCCCUUGAGUGAUAGUGGCAACCAAUUGCGAUUAUUCCUUUUCAGCGCUUGUUUAGCAAUUGGUCUAUAAACAACUUAUUUGAGAGGUGAUUAUAUGUUUUGCUCUAGUCCAGGGGUCCGGCCCUUUUUGCUUUGCCUGUUUUCAAUGUUUUAAGAGUUAUAUUUGUGGAUUUGCAGUUUGCACUGUUUUUUGAAGCUUUUCAACUAAAUUCUGACAUAAAACUUAGUGAUUACGCAUUUCUUCCUGAUGGACUCAUGGUCUAUGUAAAUUUGCAGCUUACUUAUUCAUGAGAACAAAGAAAAAAGAUACAGACCUAGAGGAAGAAGUAUCGACCAAUGUCUCCUCCUCUCCAGUUUCGUCCACCCCUACCACAACUACAACAGUUUCUGAGAAGCCCAUUUCAUUGCCCACAGUUUCAGAACCUGUGAAGCCGCACGAACCUAUCCCAGAGAACCAACAGCGUGAACUGUACAAGUGGAUUUUGGAAGAGAAAAGAAAGGUCAAAGCAAAAGAUCCACAAGAGAAGAAGCGCAUCGAUGAAGAGAAAGCUAUUCUUAAACAGUUCAUUCGAGCAAAAUCCAUCCCAAGAAUUUAGUUGAUUAUGCUCUUAUUUCAACCUGAGAUCAGCUGAAUUUUCUUUGAUCAGUUAAGAAGUUUGAAUUCUGCAAUUAUUGAAUUUCAAUGCAUAUACUGUCUUCUCCUAAUUGUUUGAUUCUCGGUUGAGAUCUUUAGAAUUUGUGAUUGCUGUUGCUUUGUUUUAGAUAUAAGGGUGAUGUUUUUGUCGUCUGGAAGAUUCUUAUUGACCAUAAACUUGCUGAUUGUAUUUGGCUUUGUAUGUUUCACUGCAGACUGCAAUAUGAGGAGUACCUGACUGACCUAUGGGCCAGCAGUUGAAUACCACUCUGAUCUGCAAUUUUAGUUUUCCAAAUGUUUUCUACACAAUUAAAACAACCAUCUACACAAGUUCUUGUUUCUCUCUCUACCUUUAUCAUCUUUUCAACUAAUGUUUGGAGUUUUCUUGCUAAUGCUCCUUCACAUUCUAUCUGAUGAUGGGUCUUAAAAAAC